UACGAAGGGGGGCUAGCGUUGCUCGGAAUCACUGGGCGUAAAGCGCACGUAGGCGGACUCUUAAGUCGGUGGUGAAAUCCUGGAGCUCAACUCCAGAACUGCCUUCGAUACUGAGAGUCUCGAGUCCGAGAGAGGUGAGUGGAACUGCGAGUGUAGAGGUGAAAUUCGUAGAUAUUCGCAAGAACAUCAGUGGCGAAAGCGGCUUCCUGGACCAGAACUGACGAUCAGGCACGAAAGCGUGGGGAGCAAACAGGG
rnacentral:rRNA from 1 species